UUGAACAACCUGCUUUAUUAAUUGACGGUAUUCUGUUGCACGCACUACUUAUGCAAACAAAGGGAGUCUUCAAUUAAAGUCCGACGGAUGCUGGUUGCUGGGGGCAAUGUCUUGAGUAAUAUGUAUACAUGGUUUGGGUUCUAGGCCGGCGCACUUUUCGCCCACGCUUAGAGCUAGCCCUGCGAACGACUAGGUUGGAUUUGUCAUCUAUUUUGGUCGAUUUGGGAUUCUUUGUUGCAUUGUGUAUCAUGUGUGGUCUAUUAUCUUCAAUCCAAGUACGGUAGGUUUGGAUUUGGGGAUUCAUAAUCAAUUCUUCUUAAGACAUGCCUUGUUCAUUUGUGAUGAGUGAUUGAUUGGAUGAUUUGAAACUUUUCCGGUGAAAUUGUGAUGAGUGAUUUGGCUCCAGAUCCGGUGAAAUUUAUUGUGGGUUUUAUUGCUAGGACGCUUGUGAGCAACUUUAGUAUGAUCCCCGUCUAAUCCUUUACAGAUUCAGCGUAAAUUAGAGUUUUCCUCAAACCGUGUUAUUCGUGGAGGGUGUUCGGUUUUCUUCCAAAUCCGUCGUGAAUACUUAGAACUUUUCGAUAUCUUUUUCAUGGAUCUAUUAGCUCUUGGGGUUGUGCAUCUAUGGCUGAAGUUUUGUCCCGAAUCGUUGAGUUUUGAGGGAGGAUUUUAGAGUUGAAGUCUCAAGCUCGCUCUUGCGUGUGCUUCUGUUCUUCCCGUUCGUCCCCUCUGUUUCGAGCGCAGGAGUCUCCGUGCAGGGCAUCGGGCGCAGGAGACGCAAGGCGCACGCGCACGUGCCUGCGUACGCGAGGCGCGCGAGCAGCCCAGCGCAGCGGCAACGACCAGCAGUCGGGUUGCGCACGCACAGCAGCACAGGCGAGUACAGCAGGCACAGGCGAGAGCACGCCAGGCCCAGCAGCAGCAAGCGCAGCAGGCUGCAGCAAGCGCCAGGCCCAGCAGCAGCAAGUGGAGCUGGCCAGCACCAGGUCAAGCAAGCCGGCCAGCGGCCCAGGCGGACGCACUACCAGGCCAGGCAAGCAGGCCUGCGAGCCAUCAGUCCAACAGCACGUCAAAGGGAGGUCAUCAGUUUGCUGCAGAUUAGGGUUCCAGACGGAAGCAGAUGCGAGCGACGAUGCGGUGCCUGAAUGUGUCCACAAACAUGAGCCUGGAUGGUGUGGACACUUUUGAGCACUUGAGGCUAAUUCUGGAGAUGAAUAAUGUCCGAUCCAGUGUGGUGUCUGGCAUGGACGUGGCGAUACCAUUUGUUUGGGGAGCAAUGGUGAAGGAAACAAAUGCAGCAGCUGACGAGCAUAAGCCGCUCGUCCCACCAGCCCAAUCAGAGCUGCUGGUCUAAAAAUCCAAUGAUAGUUUCUAUUGUGCAAUCGGUUUAUUUGGGUCAAAGACCGUACCUGCAUAGUGUCACGAGAUCCAACUGUAAAUUUCUUAUGUAACAGUUUGUAUGAUACAUAGACAUGAAUGAACUGGUAAGGUUCUCUUCAUGCUGUCCCUUGUCAAACUUAUUCCAGGAGCUUGGUUAGCAUUAUUUUUCUUUUGUUUUCUUCACGAAAUAAUGCAAUUU